AAAUAGAGAGGCAGCCAUGGUUCUUGAAGUUUAAAGAUUCGUUUCAAGUGAUUUAAUAUGUUUUGGAAAGGUAUUUCGUGGUUCUAUAACUUUCAUUCAGACUCCAAAAUCCAGUUCCACUUGUAUCAGCUUGAAAAGUGGUGAUGAAGUGUAGAGGAGGUACUGCUCAAAUUUGGUUUUGGAAAUCCUACACGGACAGCUGACGAAAAUCCUGUUUCCUUCCAUUACCCCUUCGAAACGAAGCGACAAGGUAAAACAGUAAGCUGUCCAGAUU